rnacentral:rRNA from 1 species
CCUACGGGCGGCUGCAGUGGGGAAUCUUGCGCAAUGGGCGAAAGCCUGACGCAGCGACGCCGCGUGAGCGAUGAAGGCCUUCGGGUCGUAAAGCUCUGUCAGAGGGGACGAUAAUGACGGUACCCUCAGAGGAAGCCCCGGCUAACUACGUGCCAGCAGCCGCGGUAAGACGUAGGGGGCUAGCGUUGUCCGGAAUUACUGGGCGUAAAGGGCGUGUAGGCGGCCAGGAAAGUCAGUGGUGAAACACCUGGGCUCAACCCAGGUAUUGCCGUUGAAACUGUCUGGCUUGAGGAUAGAAGAGGAGUGUGGAAUUCCCGGUGUAGCGGUGAAAUGCGUAGAGAUCGGGAGGAACACCAGUGGCGAAGGCGGCACUCUGGUCUAUACCUGACGCUGAGGCGCGAAAGCUAGGGAAGCAAACAGGAUUAGAUACCCGAGUAGUC